CAUAUAUUUAAUUGGGCUCAAAAUUACCAUAUAUAACUGUUGCUCUUUGCUCACUCAAAUUAACCUAUAUGUUUCGUGUUGCCGUUUUAGUUUACACACCAUGACUUAUGGUAAAGAACUCUUUCUCAUUUCUCAAACAGUUAAAGAAAAUUUCAGUAGAUCCAACCUUACAAUUGCCCGAUCAUCUUCUCUAUUCCAUUUUUUUCCUGCCUUAAUUUUCACGAUCUACUCCAUGUCUGCCUUGUUUCCAAAAAAAAAAGGGCAUGUUUCACACUUGGCUUUAACCUUUGAUGAAUCCGUUUUCGGUGAAAAAAAUCCAACUACAUACUCGUAUAACAAGUUUUGGAAGUCAGUUCGUUUUUCUCUGGAUGCUUCUAAAAAUAAGUUGAUCAAUGCUGAGAAAAGAGCAUUGCGUGUUCAAUUCAAUAAUCAUGGGGAUCUCCACGAUAUGAUGAAAUUGCUCGACGGAAACGAUUUUCAGGAGGAUUACUUGAAAAUUGAGUCAUUUGUUCCGAGGAAAUCUACAAUGAGUAUCUCAUAAGCAGAAGGAAAGACAACUCUUCUGCAGAUUCCCAGAACAAGUGUUGGCGCCAUUUCAAGGUUAGGGAGCGAGUUACGAAUGAAAAAGCACAGACAAAGAAGUUCAAUUUCAUAUUUACUUGGCAAUUAUUAAGUUAGGUCACUCUCUUUUCUGUUGGCCAAAUUGAGAUAAUUUAUAGUAAGACAUGUGUUUUGGAGUAAAUGCAAAUUAUACUAUAUAUUGUCUUAAGACAUGUGUUUUGAGUAAAAUGCAAAUUAUACCAUAUAUUUUGCCUUAAAGACAUGUGUUUCAAGUAAAUGCAAAUUAUACCAUAUAUUUUGCCUUAUCUAACUUCAUUCUUUGCGUGAAUUAAAAAAAGUUCGAAUGUGUAGUCUAUCUCAAAAAAGAGAAGGAUAGACACAACAAAAAGCUCUUUUUGUGCUUGAGAUUAAGAAACAUAUACUUGUAUGUAACGUCCACAAAAUAUCUAUUUUUUAUACAGGCGUAGAAUAGUUUGUGAACCUUUUAAGUUCAACAGUGGUACUAUUGAUGAUUUAUGAACCAAUUAAGUUCAAUAGUGGUAUUAUUGAAUCAAGGAAACAUAAUAGUUUGAGCCUUUGAGGGUAAGAUUUAUUUCUAGUCCAAUUGAGAGACAAAGUAAUGUGAUUUUAUUUUUGUUCUCCAAUUUGCUCUCCAUGUAAAAAUCUUCUGGUGUACUUGUCCUCUCGCCAUGACAGAAACACAUUUGCCUACGACAAGCAUAGGCUAGGAUAUAUUAAUGCACCUACUGAAGUAAAAACUCCCCUAGUAGAUAGUAAACAUCAUUCUGAUUGCUUAUAAUAGUGUUGAUCUUUUUUGAUAGUUGUGAAGAAGCAGAAGAGGAUUAUGCUUUUAUUGAAACAUAGAAUCCAACUUGGAAGCCUCUGAAUAAACUUAGUGAGAUUAGGGGAAGAUUUGUUUGCAUUCUAUCCUCCUCAAAUCUCAAAGGCAAUGCAUGAUUUGGGGGGUUUUCUGUCAUCUGAUUUCAGUUUCCUAGGCCACGCCAUGGCUGAGUUCAGACACGUGUUUUGCUAAUUUGGAAGAAAUUGAAUUAGAUAACGUCCAUUUAACGGGAGAAACCAUGUCAAUGAUGUAUAUUAGUAAGUACAAUUCACUAGUUAAAUGGACGUGAAGAUUUAGUGUACCUCUUCACGAACACAUAUGUCCAAUGUUGUAUUGUAGUUGCUAAAAUUCUCAAGAUGACUUCUCAACUUGUGGAACCAAUCUCUAUUCAUGAUCUCAUUGACAUUAGGAACCAAUACAAUAUUAUUGUUGUUCUCUAAAACCUCACUUGGAGGAGCUAAAUAUGAUUGAAAUGUUGUAUCCUAAUAUUGGUAAGAAGACAAAUUUGGAGAUGAAUUUAUACCUCUUCUUGAACAAUCAUAUAGUUGUAUUCUGGUUGCUAAAACUCUGAAUGUGAGGGACCAAGCUCUAUAAACCAACCAUGUCAUGAAUUUUAGGAACCAAUACAAAAUAUUAUUAUAGCUCACAAUUCAAAUGAAAUUCCCGAACCAUUUUACAAGCACGGUUAUCCAUGUUAGUAUCAACGGGAAAUGAAAUGGAAAACUUGUAAACGGAUGUAUUCGCCAUUGAUAAACAGAGCGUGCAAUGCUCUUUUCUCAGCAUUGAUUAACUAUGGAGGGGCAAUUGUAACGCUGGAUCUACUAAAUUUGGUGGAUGAUUAUCUUCAAUUGUUUGACAAAUGAUGAAGAGUUCAGCAGCAGCAGCCGUGCUGUGGAAACACAAAACCCUAACUAGGUUGAUUUGAGGAUAAUUUUGAAAGAAAAAAAAAA